UACGGAGGGUGCAAGCGUUGUCCGGAAUCAUUGGGCGUAAAGCGUUCGUAGGCGGCAUAUCAAGUCUGGUGUCAAAGCCUGAGGCUCAACCUCAGUUCGGCGCUGGAUACUGGUAAGCUAGAAUGUGGUAGAGGUAAAGGGAAUUCCUGGUGUAGCGGUGAAAUGCGUAGAUAUCAGGAGGAACACCGGUGGCGUAAGCGCUUUACUGGGCCAUAAUUGACGCUGAGGAACGAAAGCCGGGGGAGCAAAUGGG
rnacentral:rRNA from 1 species